GACGAACGCUGGCGGCGUGCUUAACACAUGCAAGUCGAACGGAGAGGCCCUUCUUUUUUGGGUUGCUCGGGUGGCGAACGGAUGGGUAACACGUGAGUAACCUGCCCUUCACUCUGGUAUAACUUCAGGACACGAAGGCUAAGACCGUAUAGGAGCUCCUGCUUCAGGCGCAUGAUUGGCAAGUGUCGGCGGUUGUUUCUGUAGGCGCGGCUUAUCAGGUUGUUGGUGGGGUAGUGGCUUACCAAGGCUUUGACGGGUAGCCGGACUGACAGGGUGACCGGCACCAUUGGGACUGCGAUACGGCACAGCAUCCUACGGGAGGGAGCAGUGGGGAAUAUUCUACAACGGGCGGAAGGCUGAUGAAGUAACGCCGCGCGGGGGAUGAAGCUCUUGGGGUUGUAAAGCGCUUUCGCCUGUGACGAAGCGUGAGUGACGGUAACGGGUAAAGAAGCACCGGCUAACUACGUG
rnacentral:rRNA from 1 species